GAUGAACGCUGGCGGCGUGCUUAACACAUGCAAGUCGAACGAUGAAGCCCAGCUUGCUGGGUGGAUUAGUGGCGAACGGGUGAGUAACACGUGAGUAACCUGCCCUUAACUCUGGGAUAAGCCUGGGAAACUGGGUCUAAUACCGGAUAGGAGCGUCCACCGCAUGGUGGGUGUUGGAAAGAUUUAUCGGUUUUGGAUGGACUCGCGGCCUAUCAGCUUGUUGGUGAGGUAAUGGCUCACCAAGGCGACGACGGGUAGCCGGCCUGAGAGGGUGACCGGCCACACUGGGACUGAGAAACGGCCAAGAGUCCUACGGGAGGAAGCAGUGGGGAAUAUUGCACAGUGGGCGCAAGCCUGAUGCAGCGACGCCGCGUGAGGGAUGACGGCCUUCGGGUUGUAACCCUCUUUCAGUAGGGAAGAAGCGAAAGUGACGGUACCUGCAGAAGAAGCACCGGCUAACUACGUG
rnacentral:rRNA from 1 species